GCAAAGAGGAGGAACUAUCACUCUCAUGAACAUUUAUUACAAACAAAGAAGCCUUCUGUGCCACUAGAGGUUGCUGUGAAGGCAGCCAUGGGGAAGUAGCUAUGCUCUGAGGAAUGUCAAGGAUACUCACUGGUAGCAUGAAACAGCAGAGUGAAUUGAGCUGUGUUCCUUCAGGGAGAUAUCGUGGUGGCUCAAUUGCAUGUGUAAAAAGUCUCCUUGGCUGUUUGUGGCAUUUACCAAUCUGAGGAUCCUCUGGAAAAUUUCUAUAGCACUGUGCAUACCCAUUUGUAAUAGAAACUUUGUAUUUAAUUAAAGUAUUCUUAAUAUGAUUGCAUGCCCUAAAGGGAAAUAUUAGUUCUGUUAAAUGCAUUUUUGGUUUAUGCUUAAAAAAGCUACAUUUGCAAUUUUCUGUUAACACUAUUCUAAAAAUAUGUUUACUGGUAUGUCUGGCUUUAAAUUAAAUAGGUCAUCUUUUUAAUUUGUUGCUAGUGCUUCAGGUUAAUAAACAUGACUGAUAAUACAAAAGGGUUCAGCUAGCACACAAAUGCACUGUGUAUGUAAAACUAUGAAUUGGUGUAAUCAGACAGAAAUUGCAGUGAUAUGUGGCAUAUUGA